GCGGGCGUGGUCCAGCGCCAGGUCGGCGCGCGCGCCGCUGCCGGUCCAGCGCGCCAGCUGGGCCGGCAGUUCGGCGCGGCCGGCCCACA
rnacentral:tRNA from 1 species